CCCCCACUUAGCCCCACCUCUCCCUGUCCCCCACCACUUAGCCCCACCUCUCCUUGUCGACCCCCCCAUUUAGCCCCACCUCUCCUGGUCUUACUUCCCAAUCAGUCCUUUCCAGAACAGGUCCGUACAACAGCGGGACUGCAAGGUGUGUGUGUGUGUGUGUGUGUGUGUGUGUGUGUGGGAUCUCAAGGGCGAGUUUUACACAGGUGUGUGAGACACUACUGCGUCUUCGUCUAGCGAGGCCGUCCUUCCAAAUGUCACGGAAACCUGGGCUUCUGAGGCCGACUGGAUCUCAAUGUUAUUACAUGUCUGUCGGUAAUGACGCCACUGUCUGAACCAGUAGGGGACUUUAACAGGGCUCGUACUCACAAAGCCUCUCAGUGGUCGUGCUGAUCUAGGAUCAGGUCCCCUCUUAUUCAUUAUGAUCUAGGAUCAGGGCCCCUCUUAUUCAUUAUGAUCUAGGAUCAGGUCCCUCCCCUCUUAUUCAUUAUGAUCUAGGAUCAGGUCCCCUCUUAUUCAUUAUGAUCUAGGAUCAGGUCCCCUCUUAUUCAUUAUGAUCUAGGAUCAGGUCACCUCUUAUUCAUUAUGAUCUAGGAUCAGGUCACCUCUUAUUCAUUAUGAUCUAGGAUCAGGUCCCCUCUUAUUCAUUAUGAUCUAGGAUCAGGUACCCUCUUAUUCAUUAUGAUCUAGGAUCAGUUCCCCUCUUAUUCGUUAUGAUCUAGGAUCAGGUACCCUCUUAUUCGUUAUGAUCUAGGAUCAGGUCCCCUCUUAUUCAUUAUGAUCUAGGAUCAGGUACCCUCUUAUUCAUUAUGAUCUAGGAUCAGGUACCCUCUUAUUCAUUAUGAUCUAGGAUCAGGUACCCUCUUAUUCAUUAUGAUCUAGGAUCAGGUCCCCUCUUAUUCAUUAUGAUCUAGGAUCAGGUACCCUCUUAUUCAUUAUGAUCUAGGAUCAGGUACCCUCUUAUUCAUUAUGAUCUAGGAUCAGGUACCCUCUUAUUCAUUAUGAUCUAGGAUCAGGUACCCUCUUAUUCAUUAUGAUUUAGGAUCAGGUCCCCUCUUAUUCAUUAUGAUUUAGGAUCAGGUCCCCUCUUACUCAUUAUGAUCAGUAGUAGUGCUGAUCUAGGAUCAGGUCCCCUCUUAUUCGUGCUGAUCUAGGAUCAGGUCCCCUCUUAUUCGUGCUGAUCUAGGAUCAGGUCCCUCUUAUCCAUUAUAACCUAAAGCUGAUGCUAGAUCAGCACACCUGUUCUGAGAUGCUUUGUGAACACGGCCCUGAUAUCUUAGAGCUGUGAUGUGGUGGCCAACUCUUGUCCUGGGGAGCUACGCUCCUGCAGGGAUUUGUUCCGGCCCAACAGUCAUCUUUGUUUUUCUGCUAUCCUCUCGUUUUGAGAAAGUGUAAAUAAAUAAAUACCUUUAUUUCAUCAGA